UACGUAGGGCGCAAGCGUUUGUCCGGAAUUAUUGGGCGUAAAGAGCUCGUAGGCGGUUUGUCGCGUCUGCUGUGAAAACCUAAGGCUCAACCUUGGGCUUGCAGUGGGUACGGGCAGGCUAGAGUUCGGUAGGGGAGACUGGAAUUCCUGGUGUAGCGGUGAAAUGCGCAGAUAUCAGGAGGAACACCAGUGGCGAAGGCGGCCCUCUGGGCCGGGCCUGACGCUGAGACGCGAGGGCGUGGAGAGCGAACGGG
rnacentral:rRNA from 1 species